rnacentral:lncRNA from 1 species
AGGCGGAGGUGACAUUCCCAUGCAAAGACGGUUUCCAAUAGCGAACAUCCUCAGCAUCUCCAACAGGCAAAAGAAGAAUAUCACAAACCACGUCCGGAAAAUUAUCCAAAAAAGACUGAGUAAAGUGCCAAAUUCCCUCAAAGUAAAAAUCCGCAACAGAGUUGGUUAAGAAAUCAUGCAUGUAACCCGGAACCUCACUGUCGCAGCCCGAUCCCCGACGCUAGUGAUAGCGGGGUACGAGUAUCGAUACGACUAUUUUUAAAGAAUAAAAGAUAAG